ensembl:lncRNA
CCUCAAUAUUACACAAAGUGUCUCUGAGAGACACUUUGUCUCUCAGAGACACUUUGUGUUCUGGUUCCACUGAUAUUCAAGAUGUUUGUGAGUCAAUGUCCAGAUAAUCUAGUGGUGCAUGAGGUGGAGAAGAUGCUGGUCUAUCUCCACGGUGGAUUACUGAAGUACACUUAACCGAGGAGAGACGUCCCCAUGACACACUCAGAACAUGGCCAUACGAGGGACACACGCAGACUCGUGGACACACGUGUCAUCAUCCGUCUAAGUAAAAUGCUAGCAUGUAGCUUCAUGGCUCGGACUGACAUUUUUACACGCAGUGCCUCUCUCCUCAUUACGUAUGCGCUCAUUAUGUAUGCGUGGUCGCUGGUGGGCCCGAAACAUUUGCUUCACUGAGAGUUCCCCUCACAGCUCCAUCUAAGAUGGACAUGUUUGUGUUCACGUGUGCACGGGUCAGGCAGAUAAUUCAAGUUCACUAUACAUUCUAGUUCAUCUAGAUCAGAGAUCUAGAUCCUUAUAUGGGAUCGCUCAAACGCUGUAAGCCCCGCCCCUCACUUAUAAUAACCCGAUCAAUAAAGUCUGAGUUGACAUUCAGAGGUUCUGUUAGAUUCUAACCAGACCAGGUUGAGGGAUUUUCCUGUAGGACAGCUUACUGGACCAUCAUUCACCCGGAGGACCUGCAGCUGUUUUAUGUGUGUUAGUGGAGGUAGAGUCUGAAGAGGUGUGUCUUUAGUCUGAAGAUGUGAAGGCUCUCUGUGGUCCUGAUGUCUUCAGAGACCUCCUUCCAUCAUUUAGGAGCAGGACAGCAAAGAGUGGAGAUCUAGUGGAGUGUUUUGCUCUCAGUGAGGAGGAACAAGCAGUUUAUCACAUGCAGAGCGGAGAGUGCGGGUCGGGGUGUCGGGUUGGACCAGGUCCUGGAUGGAAGCUGGACCCCAUCCAUUCACAGCAUGGUACGUGAGCACCAUGUUUAGAACUGGAUGAGCCACCGGUACCAGUGAAGAGAGCGGAGGAGUGGAG